rnacentral:rRNA from 1 species
GACGGGGGGGGCAAGUGUUCUUCGGAAUGACUGGGCGUAAAGGGCACGUAGGCGGUGAAUCGGGUUGAAAGUGAAAGUCGCCAAAAAGUGGCGGAAUGCUCUCGAAACCAAUUCACUUGAGUGAGACAGAGGAGAGUGGAAUUUCGUGUGUAGGGGUGAAAUCCGUAAAUAUACGAAGGAACGCCAAAAGCGAAGGCAGCUCUCUGGGUCCCUACCGACGCUGAGGAGCGAAAGCGUGGGGAGCGAACAGG